ensembl:lncRNA
CAAGGCUACUAUUCCUUUGCUACCAGGAAGUGAAUACCCAACAUCCAGAAUGUGAAACAGAAGAAAGCUGUAGGAUGAGGAACAGCAAAGAAGAGGAUGUGAAGUAGAAUCACAAAAGGCUGAGAAAGAGAAGGAGACUUGUGUACACCUUGAUAUGGAAUGGAAGAAUAUCAUUUUCUCUUUUUCUUGGCCUCCAGGAAAGAAAACCCAGUUCAAUCUGUGUAACCCAAAGGAUGAGAGUUAAAUCCAAUCAUGACAAGAAGGAUGAAGAGAAUACAGUUGAAAUGCUUUACUCUAAAGUCAUCACCACCCAUUUAGUAAUGCAUAAUUCCACGCCUUUCUUCUUUUGACUACCGUUGCUGCAACAC